rnacentral:rRNA from 1 species
UACGUAGGUGGCAAGCGUUGUUCGGAAUUACUGGGCGUAAAGGGCGCGUAGGCGGCGCGACAAGUCACUUGUGAAAUCUCCGGGCUUAACUCGGAGCGGCCAAGUGAUACUGUCGUGCUAGAGUGCGGAAGGGGCAACUGGAAUUCUCGGUGUAGCGGUGAAAUGCGUAGAUAUCGAGAGGAACACCUGCGGCGAAGGCGGGUUGCUGGGCCGACACUGACGCUGAAGCGCGAAAGCCAGGGGAGCGAACGGG